rnacentral:rRNA from 1 species
AUUGAACGCUGGCGGCAGGCCUAACACAUGCAAGUCGAACGCGUGGCGGACGGGAGAGUAAUGCUUGGGAAUCAAGUUUAUGGAGGGGGUUAACUACGGGAAACUGUAGCUAAUACCGCGUACCAUAGGAUGAGCCCAUGUGGGACUAGGUAGUUGGUGAAGUAAAGGCUCACCAAGUCGACGAUCUCUAGUUGGUCUGAGAGGAUGACCAGCCAAACUGGGACUGAGCCACGGCCCAGAAUCCUACGGGAGGCAGCAGUGGGGAAUAUUGCGCAAGGGGGGCAACCCGACGCAGCCAUGCCGCGUGGAUGAAGAAGGCCUUCGGGUUGUAAAGUUCUUUCGGUAGCGAGGCGUUAACUAAAGAAGAAGCACCGGCUAACUCCGUGCCAGCCGCCGCGGUAAUAC